rnacentral:rRNA from 1 species
GAUGAACGCUGGCGGCGUGCCUAAUACAUGCAAGUCGAGCGAACAGACGAGGAGCUUGCUCCUCUGACGUUAGCGGCGGACGGGUGAGUAACACGUGGAUAACCUACCUAUAAGACUGGGAUAACUUCGGGAAACCGGAGCUAAUACCGGAUAAUAUAUUGAACCGCAUGGUUCAAUAGUGAAAGACGGUUUUGCUGUCACUUAUAGAUGGAUCCGCGCCGCAUUAGCUAGUUGGUAAGGUAACGGCUUACCAAGGCAACGAUGCGUAGCCGACCUGAGAGGGUGAUCGGCCACACUGGAACUGAGACACGGUCCAGACUCCUACGGGAGGCAGCAGUAGGGAAUCUUCCGCAAUGGGCGAAAGCCUGACGGAGCAACGCCGCGUGAAGGAUGAAGGUCUUCGGAUCGUAAAACUCUGUUAUUAGGGAAGAACAAAUGUGUAAGUAACUAUGCACGUCUUGACGGUACCUAAUCAGAAAGCCACGGCUAACUACGUG